AAAGCUCAGAAAUGUGCUGUGCUCAGCAUUUCUGUGCUGAUGCAGCAUCCAUGGUCAAAAAGGCGGGCGGCUGCAGCAGCCGCAGCAGCAGUUGCUCUAGUUGCUCUAGGGGGUGGAAAUCAGAUUGCACCAUUUCUACCUCAUUUGGCAGCAGAAGCACCGAGUCACAAGGAAGAUGAGGUUCUAGUCCAGAAGCAGCUGGGCUAUGUCACUCUAAAGGUGUCAGCAGAUGUGGCUUCUUUUAGCUGA
rnacentral:lncRNA from 12 species